rnacentral:rRNA from 1 species
AAGCUGGGCACUCUGGGGACACUGCCACCGUAAGGUGUGAGGAAGGUGGGGAUGACGUCAAAUCAGCACGGCCCUUACGUCCGGGGCUACACACGUGUUACAAUGGCAGGUACAGAGAGAUGGUGUUCUGCAAAGCGCAUCUAAUCCUUAAAGCCUGUCUCAGUUCGGACUGGGGUCUGCAACCCGACCCCACGAAGCUGGAUUCGCUAGUAAUCGCGCAUCAGCCAUGGCGCGGUGAAUACGUUCCCGGGCCUUGUACACACCGCCCGUCAAGCCAUGAAAGCCGGGGGCGCCUAAAGUCCGUGACCGUAAGGAGCGGCCUAGGGCGAAACUGGUAAUUGGGGCUAAGUCGUAACAAGGUAGCCGUACCGGAAGGUGCGGCUGGAACACCUCCUUUCUGGAG